rnacentral:rRNA from 1 species
AGUGAACGCUGGCGGUAGGCCUAACACAUGCAAGUCGAACGGCAGCACAGUAAGAGCUUGCUCUUACGGGUGGCGAGUGGCGGACGGGUGAGGAAUACAUCGGAAUCUACUUUUUCGUGGGGGAUAACGUAGGGAAACUUACGCUAAUACCGCAUACGACCUACGGGUGAAAGCAGGGGAUCUUCGGACCUUGCGCGAUUGAAUGAGCCGAUGUCGGAUUAGCUAGUUGGCGGGGUAAAGGCCCACCAAGGCGACGAUCCGUAGCUGGUAUGAGAGGAUGAUCAGCCACACUGGAACUGAGACACGGCCCAGACUCCUACGGGAGGCAGCAGUGGGGAAUAUUGGACAAUGGGCGCAAGCCUGAUCCAGCCAUACCGCGUGGGUGAAGAAGGCCUUCGGGUUGUAAAGCCCUUUUGUUGGGAAAGAAAAGCAGCAGGUUAAUACCCCGCUGUCCUGACGGUACCCAAAGAAUAAGCACCGGCUAACUUCGUG